UGUAUAUAUAAAUAUAUAUAUAUAUAUAUACGCAUAAACAGAUAUAUUCAUACAUACAAGUUCACUGUAUGACAGUUGCACACACACACACACACAUGCAUGCAUAUACACACACAGUGCACACACACAUACACACACACACACACACACAACUAGCUGCUAAUGUAAGUCGCUUCACCAAUAAUUCUGAAAGAAUUCUCCACUUGCAUAUUUGCAUUCCAGUUUGCAUUUUAAUUAGACUUGUAGCUUUUUAUUCUAGUUUGAUAUCAACCAAUGAAAACAGUUGGUAUAAUGAAAUGUCUUCAUGAAGCAAAUUUUGCCUGUUCUCGUCAAUAACUGUGUUAUAUAUACACCAUAAAAACCAUCUCUGAUUCUAGUCAGUUCCAUCGCGAUCACAUUUUAUCAAACAUUCUCAAUUAUUCUAGUCAAUAUGUCCAUCAAAACAAUUUAUUCUAGUCAACGUUAUCAUCAUCAAGUUCAUGUAUUUUAGUUGUUAUCAUCGAGAAACUUGUCUAUUCACUGUUACAAUAAUACCUGGAUGGAAUAUUAAAAUUGUACUCAGUAUCAUUGUCAAAUGAAGACAUAUGUACUCUAGUAAAAAAAUCUCUAUCAGAUUCUUACAUUCAAUUCCAUAUUUGCCAUAAAUCACCAUCAAACAACUUGUACUUGUUCUAGUCAAAUGACUACAAAACAAAUUCUAUUCUAGUCAAAAAAAAAAAUCAUCAUAUAUCACCAAAGAAACUCUUAUAUUCUAGUCAAUAUCACCAUAAAACCAUCAAACAAUUUUUACCUAUUGUAGUCCUAACCACCAACAAACAUCAUCAAACAAACUUCACUUAUUCUCUAGUGAGUGUCACUAUGUUUACCUAUUGUUUAGUUGCUGUCCAGAAGAAACACCAAAUGUGAUUGUACCUAGUAUAACUUCUACCAUACAAACAUACUUAUUAUAGUCUAAAGUCUUUAGCGACAAUGUUUUUCAGUUAUUCCACACAAUAUCACCACCCUCACUCAAGUCACCUUAUAACAAACCUAUAUCAUCAUGAUCAUCAUCAUGAUCGUCAUCAUCAUUGUCAUCAUUAAAUAAAAUCACAUAUUGUAGUCUCUAUCAAACACCACCUAUUGUAGUCAAUGCCACCACAAAAAUGGAAGGUUCACAUAUUUCCUCUUCACUGAAUGUCAUCCAAAAAAAAAGAAAAAGGAAAAAAAAUUCAUGAAACACACUUGUUGUAUAUUGCCCUUCCCUCACUGCUGUUCAAUAUGACCCCCCCUCAAGAAAUGUAAAGCCACAAUAAACCUAAUAUGCCGCCUUUAUAACAC
rnacentral:lncRNA from 1 species